UACGUAGGUGGCAAGCGUUGUCCGGAUUUACUGGGCGUAAAGCGUGUGUAGGCGGACCUUUAAGUAGAAGGUGAAAGGUAGGAGCUCAACUCCUACAUUGCUCUCUAUACUGGAGGUCUUGAGUGUCGGAGAGGAAGAUGGAACUGCACGUGUAGCGGUGAAAUGCGUUGAGAUGUGCAGGAACACCAAUGGCGAAGGCAAUCUUCUGGACGAAAACUGACGCUGAGACACGAAAGCCAAGGUAGCAAACAGG
rnacentral:rRNA from 1 species